UACAGAGGUCUCAAGCGUUGUUCGGAUUCAUUGGGCGUAAAGGGUGCGUAGGUGGUGAGGUAAGUCGGAUGUGAAAUCUCGGAGCUUAACUCCGAAACUGCAUUGGAAACUACCUCGCUAGAGGGUUGGAGGGGGGACUGGAAUGCUUGGUGUAGCAGUGAAAUGCGUAGAUAUCAAGCGGAACACCAGUGGCGAAGGCGGCUCACUGGCCCGGUACUGACGCUGAGGUGCGAAAGCGUGGGGAGCAAACAGG
rnacentral:rRNA from 1 species